GGGUAAACCUAUAGUUUAGUUCCUCAGCCC
rnacentral:piRNA from 1 species